CUUUCUCCGUCAUGGCCCCGCUCCCCGCCGCCGCCUCGGCCCGCACCCAUCGCCACCACCUCCACCUGCGCACCUCCGCGGCCAAUACCUCUUCUCGCUGUCGCGACCAGACGCCACCACCACCUCCCACUGCCGCGGCCACACGCCACCACUACCGGAUGGGUCAACGCCCCUAUUAGGCCACCUUCCCGCCCCCAAGCACCGCCACGAAGUAGCCCCCGCCCCUAGCCGUCGGUAUGCUUAAGGGCCGCCACUGUUUCCUGCUUCCCCAGCGAGGGACAGAGCUCAUCGCUCCCGGAGGCUGUCCUCCUCCCCGGUGGUGAACCCGGCGUGAGACGGGCCUCAUUGUGAUGCGGAUCUGGAUUUGGGGUCGUCUGCGCCGUCCCCGAUGUACUCGGUGGCCACCAUGCACCGUGGCCACAAGCCGCCGUGCGCCUGCACUCAGUUGGCUCCGUGGCUCCUCUUCCUGCCUAAGCUCGUCCGCCCCGCGACUCCCCUUUGUGCAGACUUUUUUCGACCCAAUCGUUGGUCCGGCGAGUCCCAACUGGCAGCCUAACGCCGACGAGCCCAUCUACUGUUGUGGUGCUGAAGCUGUAAGUGAAAAAUAAUGUCGCUGAAGAUGGUGGCUGUAACAAUAGCAGGAGGAUGCUGCAUGCCAUGCACGUUCAGAGGAAACAACAGUUCAGAAAUUGACAACGGAGGGUAGGAGAGAGGUAUCGGAGUAUUGACGACCAGCAAGCAAAGCAAGAGGAAAACCAAGGGGGCAGCACCAUCCGUGCGCCACGACCACCUAGCGGGGUGGAGCUAGAUCUAGGAAAGCAUUGUCACGAGUGAUCGAGGAACUGGGCUGUAUCACCGGGGGGUUUUCCGGAUCUGCAACUUAGCUUGGGAGAUGCCUGCCAGUACUAUCUCAAUCCCGAAGAAUCCUCCGAUGAGAAGGCAUUUUGGGUGAAUUCCAGGAGGUGCCAUGUUCUUUGUUUCUUGGUCAUCGGCUGGGGCAACUGGCCGAGAUUCAGUGGGCAUCCAAGUCGGCAUUGGAGGGUGUAGGCACCGCACUUUGGCCACACUUGCCUAUACCGACUAUUGAGUCCAAUUUAUGUGAUUAUUUUGUUAGUGUUUUUGUGCCUACUUGGUAGUCUUUGUGGAAUUUCAUCGCGUUCGCGCAGUUCUUUUUGUCGUUUUUCCUCAGGUAAUGCCUUUUGGAUCAAAUAAUACUUUAUGGAAGAAAUCCCUUGAAGUGCAGUCAAAUUUAAUGUGAUAAUCAUCUACCAUAAAAGGAGGGAGCAAGAGGAGCAAAGGAGGAGGCGCCAUGUUGCCCCUACAAUGCAAAAGACGAUGUUCCAUGCGACCGGGACCGCUCGUAUGAAUAGUCCUACGGAGUGCCAACGUCGUUGCCUCGUCCGUUAUUUUUCACCCUGUGGAAUUGGGUCAGAGAUCAUACACAAAGUGGGAUCAAAAACUCGGUCCGGAAGGAGGAACCCUAGCCUCCGGAGCAAUCCGGAGGAAGGAACCGAGAAGGAGGAGGCCGACGCCUCUUCCACCAUCACUGGGACGGCUUCAACAUCAUCACCACUGCCAUCAUCAUGAUCCACAUCCUUUUCAUUUUAACUCAUCAAGAGCCCCAGUGGAUCGUCUCGUGUGUUACAUAUGUAAUCCCUCCAUGAUUCCUACUUCCAUGUGUAUGAUGAUGGUUGCCCCCAUGUGUGAGUAGUCCCUUUAGUUCUCGAGGAUAUGGAUGAACCCUAGUUUGUAAUAGACUUUUUGGUAUUAGGAUUUAAUAUUCUCUUAUCAUGUUUAUGUUAAUAAUCU